rnacentral:rRNA from 1 species
CUUCACUUGUUGGUGAGGUAAUGGCUCACCAAGGCGUCGACGGGUAGCCGGCCUGAGAGGGUGACCGGCCACACUGGGACUGAGACACGGCCCAGUCUCCUACGGGAGGCAGCAGUGGGGAAUAUUGCACAAUGGGCGCAAGCCUGAUGCAGCAACGCCGCGUGAGGGAUGACGGCCUUCGGGUUGUAAACCUCUUUUAGCAGGGAAGAAGCGAAAGUGACGGUACCUGCAGAAAAAGCACCGGCUAACUACGUGCCAGCAGCCGCGGUAAUACGUAGGGUGCAAGCGUUAUCCGGAAUUAUUGGGCGUAAAGAGCUCGUAGGCGGUUUGUCGCGUCUGCUGUGAAAUCUGGGGGCUCAACCCCCAGCCUGCAGUGGGUACGGGCAGACUAGAGUGCGGUAGGGGAGAUUGGAAUUCCUGGUGUAGCGGUGGAAUGCGCAGAUAUCAGGAGGAACACCGAUGGCGAAGGCAGAUCUCUGGGCCGUUACUGACGCUGAGGAGCGAAAGGGUGGGGAGCAAACAGGCUUAGAUACCCUGGUAGUCCACCCCGUAAACGUUGGGAACUAGUUGUGGGGUCCAUUCCA